rnacentral:tRNA from 1 species
AGCCCCAUAGGGUAGUGGCCAAUCCUGCGGGCCCUUGGAGCCUGUGACCGCGGUUCGAAUCCGCGUGGGGCUA